GAUGAACGCUGGCGGCAGGCCUAACACAUGCAAGUCGAACGAACUCUUCGGAGUUAGUGGCGGACGGGUGAGUAACACGUGGGAACGUGCCUUUAGGUUCGGAAUAACUCAGGGAAACUUGUGCUAAUACCGAAUGUGCCCUUCGGGGGAAAGAUUUAUCGCCUUUAGAGCGGCCCGCGUCUGAUUAGCUAGUUGGUGAGGUAAAGGCUCACCAAGGCGACGAUCAGUAGCUGGUCUGAGAGGAUGAUCAGCCACAUUGGGACUGAGACACGGCCCAAACUCCUACGGGAGGCAGCAGUGGGGAAUCUUGCGCAAUGGGCGAAAGCCUGACGCAGCCAUGCCGCGUGAAUGAUGAAGGUCUUAGGAUUGUAAAAUUCUUUCACCGGGGACGAUAAUGACGGUACCCGGAGAAGAAGCCCCGGCUAACUUCGUG
rnacentral:rRNA from 1 species